rnacentral:lncRNA from 1 species
GUGUCCUGAGCAGCCCAAAGUCAGCCCUCCGAAAGUCCAACACAGUGGUUUUACUGGUCCCCUUCCUGGCCUCGCCAAGAAUAGUGAACUCCACCAUUUCGUGGUCACUCUGCCCAAGACAGCUCCCGACAAUCACAUCCUCCACCAGUCCUUCUCUGUUUGUGAAGAGAAGGUCUAGCGGGGCACCACCCCUGGUAGGUUCAUUAAUCAGCUGCGUUUCAAGACACGCUGCCCUCCUGCUCUGCCGUCCUGCUCUGCUCCAGUCCCUUUGGCUCAGCAGCUGGAAGCAGGAGAGCCCGGCACACGGUGACCUGGUUUUCGCACUGUCCUUCAGGAACUUGACAGCGGUCCAGAGCGCAUUCUGCAGAUGGCAGCCUGGUGACACACAGCCUCAACGUGAGCCGCGCGCAGGCUGCCUUUGUGCUAUAUUUACCGCCGCUCGCAGCGGAGCGGUUCUCCAGCCGUUUCUAGCACGCUCAGAAACUCGCAAGCCCUAGAAAAUGGGUGUUACACAACGGAGCGGGCCCGGCGUGACCUGGCUGAUGCCACCACCACCUAACCUGACCCGCUGAAUGCCAGCCGCGGUGUCGUCCUACCACCACGGCCCUGACGCUCCCCUGAGCCUGCAGGGAGCCAGCGGGCGAGCUGCGCCGGCAGAAAACUAUUUUUGCAUGCCGUGUUUUCUGCCAGCUUCAGUCCCCGAGCUGCCUCGCUGUCAGGGGGCUUUAGCCUUGCUGGAGGGCCAAGACCACUGUGGUAAGCACAAGGCUGGUGUCAUGAGAUGCUGUGUGAAGCACACCUGUAACAUGCAACAGUUACAACAGCGACUGCUUCAAACCAUAAUGCUACAGUCAGUAUGAUGAGUAUGACUUUUGUUCAUCACCAAAUGUCAACUUCCUCCCCUGGUACUCUGCUGUCCCACUGUCCAGGCAGCAUUCAUGCUAUCAAGAUUUUGGAGCAUGGACUGUGCCUUUGUUAGUUGGUUGGUUGACGCUAAUUUUGUUCAAUCUAAUUAGACACCAGCAGUCUCCAACAUUUUCAGUGGGGAAUAGAAAGAUUUCUUCUGCUAGAUUUGUGUUAUAAUGUGCCAAAAUGCAUAUUAAAUAGAAACUGCUUGCUUUUUUUUUUUUUUUUUUUUUUUUUUUUUUUUUUUUUUUAAUAAUCCUGUGUGAUAUAGCUUAAUAAAUAAAAACUAGAGAGCAACCUGAUGUUAUUUCUUUGGGAUCAACUCAUUGUGCAAAGCAAGUUCUUCGUGCCUUUCUACUUCCUUUGAAUUUCAGGGACUUCCUGCAAAUUUCACGUUUCUUGACAGAAGUUUAAUUCGCAUUUUCCACUUGUUCAAUGGCAAGGCUCUCUGUGUACCUCCUCUCUACUGCUCUGAGAUUUUUAAAUAUUUCUGUAUUGGUUUGUGCCUUUUUACCUGUUCUUUUUUGCCUUUAUGCUUCUCUGCCCUCCCUUUUGUUUCAUUCCCUUUUCCUCUUUCUCCUCCCCCUGUUUCACGAUGCCAUUGUUUUCAGAAUUGUAUUAGAAAGUUGACAGAGCUGAAAUGGAACAACUUUCUUGGAAGAAAGUCAAAGAUUAUUAGAGUUUGCAGUUUGAUGAUUCCAUUCCAGUAGACUCAUGGCUCCACCCUGCUG